AUUGAACGCUGGCGGCAUGCUUUACACAUGCAAGUCGAACGGCAGCACGGACUUCGGUCUGGUGGCGAGUGGCGAACGGGUGAGUAAUACAUCGGAACGUGCCCAGUUGUAGGGGAUAACUACUCGAAAGAGUAGCUAAUACCGCAUGAGAACUGAGGUUGAAAGCAGGGGAUCGUAAGACCUUGCGCAACUGGAGCGGCCGAUGGCAGAUUAGGUAGUUGGUGGGAUAAAAGCUUACCAAGCCGACGAUCUGUAGCUGGUCUGAGAGGACGACCAGCCACACUGGGACUGAGACACGGCCCAGACUCCUACGGGAGGCAGCAGUGGGGAAUUUUGGACAAUGGGCGAAAGCCUGAUCCAGCAAUGCCGCGUGCAGGAUGAAGGCCUUCGGGUUGUAAACUGCUUUUGUACGGAACGAAAAGCUUCGGGUUAAUACCCUGGAGUCAUGACGGUACCGUAAGAAUAAGCACCGGCUAACUACGUGCCAGCCGCCGCGGUAACAC
rnacentral:rRNA from 1 species